AGUUCUUGUAGUUGAGUUACAACGGUGGUUUUUCAUGCCAUUGGUCAUGGUUAAAUUCCAUGUGAGAAUUA
rnacentral:tRNA from 1 species